CGCCACUUUUGAAAUGUAGCACAACGCCUUCUCAGUCAUGACUGAAGACGAACAGCAAUCUUAUUUCGGAGCACUUGAACCGGUCCCACCUUCCAAUUUGCCUGGUAUCUCGUCUGAGCGACAAUUGAGCAGAGUUGAAUACCGUAAUGAUUUGUGCAUGCCGCCUGUAAGGAACCAGGGUAGAUAUGGCAGCUGCUGGGCC